GUCUAUGGCCAUGCCACCCUGAACAAGCCCUAUCCUGUCUGAUCUCAGAAGCUAAGCAGGUUAGUACUUGGAUGGGAGACUACCUAGGAAGACCAGGAGCUGUAGGCA
rnacentral:rRNA from 1 species